rnacentral:rRNA from 1 species
UACGUAGGGGGCAAGCGUUGUCCGGAAUCACUGGGCGUAAAGGGCGCGUAGGCGGCCUGAUAAGUAGGGGGUGAAAUCCUGUGGCUCAACUGCAGGGCUGCCUCCUAGACUGUCGGGCUUGAGCACGGUAGAGGCAGAUGGAAUUCCCGGUGUAGCGGUGGAAUGCGUAGAGAUCGGGAAGAACAUCGGUGGCGAAGGCGGUCUGCUGGGCCGUUGCUGACGCUGAGGCGCGACAGCGUGGGGGAGCAAACAGG